AUACGGAGGGUGCAAGCGUUGUUCGGAAUUAUUGGGCGUAAAGAGCAUGUAGGCGGACUGUUAAGUCUGGUGUGAAAGCCCGGGGCUCAACCCCGGAAGUGCAUUGGAUACUGGCAGUCUUGAGUAUGCGAGAGGAAAGUGGAAUUCCGAGUGUAGGAGUGAAAUCCGUAGAUAUUCGGAGGAACACCAGUGGCGAAGGCGGCUUUCUGGACCAAUACUGACGCUGAGAUGCGAAAGCGUGGGGAGCGAACAGGAUUAGAAACCCUAGUAGUCC
rnacentral:rRNA from 1 species